rnacentral:rRNA from 1 species
UCCUACGGGAGGCAGCAGUGGGGAAUAUUGGACAAUGGGGGCAACCCUGAUCCAGCCAUGCCGCGUGUGUGAAGAAGGCCCUCGGGUUGUAAAGCACUUUCAGUGAGGAAGAACGCCUGUCGGUUAAUACCCGGCAGGGGAGACAUCACUCACAGAAGAAGCACCGGCUAACUCCGUGCCAGCAGCCGCGGUAAUACGGAGGGUGCGAGCGUUAAUCGGAAUUACUGGGCGUAAAGCGUGCGUAGGCGGCUUGGUAAGCCGGUUGUGAAAGCCCCGGGCUCAACCUGGGAAUGGCAUCCGGAACUGUCAGGCUAGAGUGCAGGAGAGGAAGGUAGAAUUCCCGGUGUAGCGGUGAAAUGCGUAGAGAUCGGGAGGAAUACCAGUGGCGAAGGCGGCCUUCUGGACUGACACUGACGCUGAGGUACGAAAGCGUGGGUAGCAAACAGGAUUAGAUACCCUGGUAGUCCACGCCGUAAACGAUGUCGACCAGCCGUUGGGUGCCUAGCGCACUUUGUGGCGAAGUUAACGCGAUAAGUCGACCGCCUGGGGAGUACGGCCGCAAGGUUAAAACUCAAAUGAAUUGACGG